UUCCCAAAUGUGGAUGUGUCUUGCACAAGUUAGAAGGCAAUUUUAUAAAAAAUAGCAGGAGCAAAACUGGACUUCUGCUCCCAUAAGACACCUGUCUAGAGUUACUACAUAAGAAGAUAACAUGACCAAAGACAAGUUAUACCAAAUGUGCAAAACACAUUAAAAUCAGAAUACUUACGUG